GCCUCCUCUGCAGACAAGCACACGUCACACGGCCACACAUUUAACACACUUUCAAAACUAAAGGGAUGUGAAAUGUAACGGAUAUUAAAAUGAAAUAUCGUGUUUUCACUAAUUCAUGGCUGUGGGCUGAAGGUGUAAUAACCCAGAUUAAAUGUGUUAUAUUUGACUUGUACCAAGUCUGAGAGAGAAGCUGUAGAACUUCUUGAGUUUGAUGACCAGCGGGCAGACGGAGUUCCAGGCUCGCUCCUGCAGCAUGUGGUCACUGGGAUUUUGAAUUGCCUGGAGAAAAAAACCCAAAAAACCCUUAAAUCUCUAUUUAUUUAUAUUAUACUUUAAUUUCAGUAUAAUAUCGUGGACCAUGUGAAUCUAAACAGUGUUGGUGUUUGUUAGACACUCAGAUACUUUAAAAAGUUAACUGUAUUUACUUGUAAUUAGACAUGAAAGCAGUGUGUUGUUUUGCUUAUUUGCUGUAAGUGUUGUUUGUACACUCCUUACAUCUCUGAUCUCUUGGCCGGCGCCUUUGUACGCCUGCAGGCCCAACAGGAUGUUCUCAGAGUCCUGCAGGACGGAGUUCACCUGGUUCCACACGUCUCGCUCUCCUUCUGUGGGCUGUGCAUCUAACAGACAAACACAUACACUCAGUGGAACAGGAAAUGCAGCAGUCUACUCAGUCACUGUGAAGUGCAGAGAUACUGACUGUGUGGAAAACCCCAAGCCGGCUGAACCUGAUCUGCAGUUUGUGGAAUCUGGUUCCACUUUGGGUCAAAGUGAUGUCACACUCCUGCAAAUACUUCAGCAUCUUCGGCAAACAACUGUCAAACAAAAGCUCUUUUCAAAGCUGAGAAGCAUGCAUUAGAAACAGAAAAGAAAACCUGGGCCUGAGUAACACAUUCCCUGGCAGAAUAAAAGCCUUCUGUGUGUUCAUCAUGUUGAGGAAAAAUAAUCUGCCAAUGCAAAAAUAAAUACAUUUUAAAAACACUUGUGGCACUAUUCAAACAGUGAAUCCCAGACAGAGGAAUAUGACCAACAGCCAAAAGUAUCUCCAUGUUGGCAGAGUUCUGGAAUUCAUUUACCAGCCACUUUGGAAAGGAAUCAGAUAUGGAAAACUUGAAAAGACGAUUUUGUUAAGUAUCAAGUGAAGAAUUCAGUUUACAAAAAAGUUGGCAAAUUUUUUGGGGUCUUGAUGGGGGUUAAAUUCUUGCUGCCACCGCAGUGCAACGAAUUCCAAAUCUUGCAAAAGUAGUUGCACUUUAAGUGGGGUUAAGUUUGAAAUCAGCUACCACAACUGAAUGUGACAGACUGAAGCACCUGUCAAUCAAACAAACAUGAGUCACAACUCUCUAGUAAAUCUGGACUUUCCUCUUCUUCCUUCUGCUUUGUACAUGUUGUUCUCUUUCUCUAUCCUUGUUAAGAAAAACAUAACAGAUUAAUUGCCUGAGAAAGAGACAACAAUGUGGUAUGUGCAGAAUGUAAAUAGGUCAAAAAUAAUACUGAGAGCUAUGAGAACUUCUUUGCAGCAUAAGGUGCAUAACCACACUUUGUCAACUGUACCACUACAUUAUUUUUUAGUUUCUGUUUCUUUUGGUUCUAGCUUUAUUUUGGCAACAAGAAUUUGAAGAAUGUAUCUUUAACUUUGUUAAAAGUGCCACAAAGACAUCAAACUGUGUUAUGUAUUAAAAAAAAUGACUGCUAUGUAAUGCAAUGAUCUUUUCUGCUUUUUUCAAAUUUUUAUGUGACUGGAUAUCUACUUCU